rnacentral:rRNA from 1 species
GACGAACGCUGGCGGCGUGCUUAACACAUGCAAGUCGAACGGUAAGGCCCUUCGGGGUACACGAGUGGCGAACGGGUGAGUAACACGUGGGUGAUCUGCCCUGCACUUCGGGAUAAGCCUGGGAAACUGGGUCUAAUACCGGAUAGGACCACUGCCUGCAUGGGUGGUGGUGGAAAGCUCUUGCGGUGUGGGAUGGGCCCGCGGCCUAUCAGCUUGUUGGUGGGGUGAUGGCCGACCAAGGCGACGACGGGUAGCCGGCCUGAGAGGGUAACCGGCCACACUGGGACUGAGAUACGGCCCAGACUCCUACGGGAGGCAGCAGUGGGGAAUAUUGCACAAUGGGCGCAAGCCUGAUGCAGCGACGCCGCGUGAGGGAUGACGGCCUUCGGGUUGUAAACCUCUUUCAGCACCGACGAAGCGCAAGUGACGGUAGGUGCAGAAGAAGGACCGGCCAACUACGUGCCAGCCGCCGCGGUAA